GAGAGUGGCCAAUGUGAUUUCGUUUCCAGGGGAAAUGAGCAGGCAGAGAGGUUGGAGUGUCAGUGAUUAAGGCAGUAGAGACUCCGCCCCUGAUGAGGUUGUAAAAGGGUAUAGGCUGCUACUGCUGCUUGUCUUGUCAGUGAGAGGAACAGUGUGGUGUGGGGAGAGUUGACUGACCUGACACAGGUUGAAAAGCAGAUUGUACCUGAUGUGUUUGGCAGCUACCGGUGAGACUCAACAGCUAAAGUUUACGAAGGUGCACUUCAAAGGUGUUGGUGAUGAAUCAAUCCAGUGAAACAGGGGAACCCUAUGACUAUGAUCUGAUUGUCAUUGGAGGAGGUUCUGGAGGGCUUUCAGCAUCAAAGGAAGCUGCCAAGUAUGGGAAGAAAGUCCUGGUCUUGGAUUAUGUUACACCUACCCCUCGCGGGACAACAUGGGGUAAACGUUUCAUGGCUUUUCU